UUAAGUUUGGCCCCAAUUUCAUUCAUUCAUUUGUUCAUACAUUCAGGGACUGCCCCCUGGACUUCACAGCAUGCUAGAGGCUGGGUUGGACCCCUACCCUUCAGGUUUAUAGAUCAACCAUCUUUGACAAAUGUAUACACCUGUGUAAUCUGCACCCCGACCAAGACAUAGACCAUUUCCAUGAGUCUGGAAAGUUCCCUGGAGUUUUGUUGCAGUCACCUGCCACCCACCCCCCUCACCAUCAAGCCACGUCUGAUCCAGUUUCCAUCACUAUCUCUCAGUUGAAAUUUUCAUUUGCUUUCAUUUUGCCUGUUGUACCCUUUCCCUUUCCCUUCCCUUUCUUUUUUUCUUUUUUUUUGAGAUGGGGUAUUGCUCUGUUGCCCAGGCUGGAGUGAAGUGGUGUGAUCACAGCUCACUGCAGCCUUGACCUCCCAGACUCAAGCAACCCUCCCACGUCAGCCUCCAGAGUAACAGGGACUACAGGUGUGCACCACUACUGGCUAAUUUCUAAAUUUUUUAUAAAGAUGAGGUCUUGCUAUGUUGCCCAGGCCUGGGCUCAAGUGAGCCUCCCACCUCAGUCUCCCAAGGUGCUGGGAUUAUAGAUAUGAGCCACCACACCCAGCCGUGUUUUACACAAGGAGAGCACAUGUCUCCUUGGUAAAACAAUAUUCAUUUUCCUAUAACCUAUCUUUUUCAACCAUUGCCAGUAAUGGCCAGAUAAAAUACAUGAACACAAACACAGACGCGUGCACAUACGUGUACCUAUGUACACACACAAUCCUCUCACAUAUGCACAUUCACACUUACACACAUACAUGCAUUACACAAACUUACAUAUAUGCAUACAAAUAUAGGUUAAGGAAACUUUUUCAAGGCUCAAAAAGAUCUAGGCCAUGGUGAGACAGAACACAGUUGUGUUUUUACUGAAACCCCUCGUGAUAGUGCACACAUGAACACACAUGCACACAAGCCCCAAAGCUGAGAAUCAUUUGCCAUCACUUCCUGCUCCCCUGUCAGAGUCAGCGCAAGAGGAGAAAAAUCGGAAUUCUUUCCCUGUCUCAAAAGUAAAAGGGACAAAUUAGUUUCUUGUCAGUGCACUGCAAUAAAUACAUUGUCAUUUUUAUCCCCCAGUGAAUCAUAGUCUCCAUUUCUCCCGUAACUAUUAUACAGUCUG
rnacentral:lncRNA from 1 species